rnacentral:rRNA from 1 species
UACGGGGGGGGCAAGCGUUGUUCGGAAUUACUGGGCGUAAAGGGCGCGUAGGCGGUUCGCUAAGUUGAAUGUGAAAACUCUGGGCUUAACCCAGAGCCUGCAUUCAAUACUGGCGGGCUAGAGUUCUGGAGGGGAUAGCGGAAUUCCUGGUGUAGCGGUGAAAUGCGUAGAUAUCGAGAGGAACACCUGCGGCGAAGGCGGGUUGCUGGGCUGACACUGACGCUGACAGCGCGAAAGCUAGGGGAGCGAACGGG